AGCCCUUCUAUGGUCUGGCGGCUGCUCUAAAGUGGUUCCUCACCAACUUCCUACUGUUUUUACUGGAGUUCAACAUCUGUGGUCUCUGGCACUCUGACCGCUUUGCUGAAGCGUCGGCCCAGAAGAAGAAGGGAGACAUCCUGCAGCCGUGUGACACAGAGUACCCCAGCUUUGUCUACGAGCCCUCCAUCAAGGAGACCAACAGCCUCAUUAAGUGUGGACGCUGUCAGAAG